rnacentral:rRNA from 1 species
ACCCGCUGAACUUAAGCAUAUCAAUAAGCGGAGGAAAAGAAACCAACAGGGAUUGCCUCAGUAACGGCGAGUGAAGCGGCAACAGCUCAAAUUUGAAAUCUGGCUCUUUCAGGGUCCGAGUUGUAAUUUGUAGAAGAUGCUUCGGGUGUGGCUCCGGUCUAAGUUCCUUGGAACAGGACGUCAUAGAGGGUGAGAAUCCCGUAUGUGACUGGGUGCUUUCGCCUAUGUGAAGCUCUUUCGACGAGUCGAGUUGUUUGGGAAUGCAGCUCAAAAUGGGUGGUAAAUUUCAUCUAAAGCUAAAUAUUGGCCAGAGACCGAUAGCGCACAAGUAGAGUGAUCGAAAGAUGAAAAGCACUUUGGAAAGAGAGUUAAACAGUACGUGAAAUUGUUGAAAGGGAAGCGCUUGCAACCAGACUUGCACUUGGUCGAUCAUCCGGGGUUCUCCCCGGUGCACUCGAUCUCGUUCAGGCCAGCAUCGGUUCAGGUGGUGGGAUAAAGGCCUUGGGAAUGUAGCUUCUUUCGGGGAGUGUUAUAGCCCUCGGUGCAAUGCCGCCUACCUGGACCGAGGACCGCGCUUCGGCUAGGAUGCUGGCGUAAUGGUUGUAAGCGACCCGUCUUGAAACACGGACCAAGGAGUCUAACAUCUAUGCGAGUGUUUGGGUGUCAAACCCAUACGCGUAAUGAAAGUGAACGGAGGUGAGAACCCUUAAGGGUGCAUCAUCGACCGAUCCUGAUGUCUUCGGAUGGAUUUGAGUAAGAGCAUAGCUGUUGGGACCCGAAAGAUGGUGAACUAUGCCUGAAUAGGGUGAAGCCAGAGGAAACUCUGGUGGAGGCUCGCAGCGGUUCUGACGUGCAAAUCGAUCGUCAAA